rnacentral:rRNA from 1 species
GGGCCCGCACAAGCAGUGGAGUAUGUGGUUUAAUUCGAAGCAACGCGAAGAACCUUACCAGGUCUUGACAUCCCUCGAAUAACAUAGAAAUAUGUUAGUCCUUCGGGACGAGGAGACAGGUGGUGCAUGGUUGUCGUCAGCUCGUGUCGUGAGAUGUUGGGUUAAGUCCCGCAACGAGCGCAACCCUUGCUGCCAGUUGCCAGCACGUAAUGGUGGGCACUCUGGCGGGACUGCCGGUGAUAAAUCGGAGGAAGGUGGGGACGACGUCAAAUCAUCAUGCCCCUUAUGAUCUGGGCUACACACGUACUACAAUGGCCGUAACAGAGGGGAGCGAGGCGGCAACGCGGAGCGAAUCCCGAAACACGGUCCCAGUUCGGAUUGCGGGCUGCAACCCGCCCGCAUGAAGUCGGAAUUGCUAGUAAUGGCAGGUCAGCAUACUGCCGUGAAUACGUUCCCGGGCCUU